AACCAUCGGCUGGAGCAAAGAAAUUUGUUGAGAAGAACGUGGGUUCUCAGGCCAUAGAUGAACCAGACACCUUGGACCCAACACUUCUACGCCCUUUUUUGAGUUUGAAUUCCUCUAAAAGAAGCUUGUUUUUCAGAAGUUCUACCAUAUGAUCAUUUGAAGACAAAUGGGGAUCAUGGUCAAUAAUGUAUGUUGAAUGUGCCAGAAGAUGACUGCAUUAUGGACUGUUGGGGUUAUUUGUGUUGACAAUAAAGGACAUAUAGCAUUUGGAGCUUCAAGUCGUGGCAUUGCACUGAAGGUCGCUGGCUGGUUCGGGCUCUGCUUCCAUGAAAGUUUUACGCUCUGUUAUGUAAGAUACUAGCCAACACGGUACUGAUAAAACUGCCGGAACUCUAGUUCAUCAAGCCGAGGCUCGUAUAUCACUUCCUGGGACUUCACCUAAGCUGAAAGCUAUAGAGAUUGCAGCAGCCUACAAUUCCCUGUCUGUUGGAAUGGGUUAUUUUGGAAGCUCUAUGGAGCGGCCUAAGGUCUCAAUUCUUAGGACUACAAAACAGCAAAAUAGGACCGACAUUGACCAGUUUGCCGCAUGAAUUGAUGUUGGUGGAAGUAAAGGAUAAAAUAUUGUGUGCACUAAGAUGUUGAUAAGAAAUUUAAAAUUUGGAAGUAAAUCAAACUGAUUUAUUUAUUUUCUUCUUUCAAGUGACUCAUCAUGUUUCAAAUGGUUAUAAAGGCAAACCUAAAACCUGAAAGGUGUUCAUUUUUGCUCA